UACGUAGGUGGCAAGCGUUGUCCGGAAUUAUUGGGCGUAAAGCGCGCGCAGGCGGUCCUUUAAGUCUGAUGUGAAAGCCCACGGCUCAACCGUGGAGGGUCAUUGGAAACUGGGGGACUUGAGUGCAGAAGAGAAGAGUGGAAUUCCACGUGUAGCGGUGAAAUGCGUAGAGAUGUGGAGGAACACCAGUGGCGAAGGCGACUCUUUGGUCUGUAACUGACGCUGAGGCGCGAAAGCGUGGGGAGCGAACAGG
rnacentral:rRNA from 1 species